rnacentral:rRNA from 1 species
UACGUAGGGUGCAAGCGUUGUCCGGAAUUAUUGGGCGUAAAGGGCUCGUAGGCGGUUCGCUAAGUCGGUUGUGAAAUCCCUGGGCUUAACCUGGGAACUGCAGUCGAUACUGGCGGACUAGAGUACGGUAGAGGGUGGCGGAACUCCGGGUGUAGCGGUGAAAUGCGUAGAUAUCCGGAAGAACACCGAUGGCGAAGGCAACCACCUGGGCCUGUACUGACGCUGAGGUACGAAAGCGUGGGGAGCAAACAGG